AACGUGGCCCUCCUGCCGCUGCAGCCUCGCCCGCCCCGCCCCGGGCCGUCCCUUCCGCCUCUUUCUCUCCACCGCCCCUGGGAUUUGUAGUUCCGGCUGUGCCGCCGCCCCUCCCGCCUCCGAGCGGCUCCCGGCAGGAACAACACAAUGGAGCUGGAGUGGUGGGAGUGCCCAUGAGGCGAUUUACCUGGGGUUGCCCUUCUGCAGAUGGCCCUGGGUGUGUCCACCUGAGAUGUCUCAGAAGGUAUUGUGUGCUGGCCAGUAGAGUGAAACAACAAAGAGAUCCUUUGGUGGCAACUGAAGAACAGUAGCACUGUAAUCACCAGGGACCAGCAGGAUGCCAGGUUCUUGGACCUAACCCGCCUUCAUGGAUGGUCAGUCAGUGUCACUCAAACUAGGUUCUGCUAACUGUAAACUGUCUUUGGUAUUCUCUACAAGUAAGGAAGAAAGGAAACGAACACUUCCUGAGGCCCAGCUCUGUGCCUGCACCAUGGGCAAGAGGUUUGACUGGGCCUCCUGGUUUCCACCGCCAUCUUGUCUCCAGAAGGCAUCAGCAUCUCAGGAUCCAGUUCAAGAACCCAGAAGCUUCAUCUCUUCCCAGGACCAGCUGCUGAGCCCAAUACCCAGAGCUGGGCAGGAAGAGCCCAGGCCCUUGAAUAGCGAUGACAUAAGUUAGCCCUCCUUCCCCCAGCCAAGCUCUGCUUUGGAGCCCGUGAGGUGACCAGGCCCCCAGUCCUGCUGGCAUUUCCUCUUGUAUUCAGUGGCUCAUUAAGGGGUGGAGGGCUUGGGUGGGGGCCAGGAGAAAAGGGAACAGCUAUUGGAAUGAAAGGCAGGCGCCAGUGACUCUUUGGUUUCCAGGCUGGAAGCAUUUGUAGAGAGGCAGCACUUCAUUUUCAAAUUGGGAGGUGGAAGAGGUCAUAGCAGGAUGACAUUGGAGGGACUUCCUUACUGCAGCCUAUGGAGAGGACCCCAGACCCUAGAGCGGCUAAAAAGACAACCUCCUACCCUGUGUUGUAUGCGGUUCCCCAUUCCAUGGGUCCUAUUAUAUUUCCCCGGCGAUCACAGAUGGUGUCUGCAUACUCUCCCUGCUCCCUGUAAGCCCAGGAAUUCCUUACUCCCGCCACACCAUCUGGAAUGCCUUCCUGGCUACUGCGACUGCCUUUGGUCUUAAAUGGCAUCAUGACAUUGGAAUUGCUUUCUAAUCUGGGGGUGGAUGUGAGUGGAAAGUAAGGUAAGCCAAACCAAGCAAAGAAGCACAAGUUAGAAAUGAACCCUAAGUGAUGCCUAAUUGCUCAAGCAAGAACCUGGGUGGAUAUGGUCCAGCUUGGUAUGGCCUGGGGCUGAGUGGGCCACUUCUGCACAGGUCUUCCCUCUGCCUGUGUCUCCCACAGCUCUCACUCCCUGUUGCCCUACAAGGUCCCUGGUCUGUGCCUCCACGCUACCUCCACAGCCCCCAUAGGUUGAGCAGCUUAGCCAGAGGCACCUAGGGAAGACUCCCCACCGACGUCUGAACAGCUGCUGGUAUUGAAGGUGGCUUCCCUUCCACCCUUCAACUUAUCAGCUUCUCACAGCCCUUACACAGGGCUCCAGAAGUGGGGUGGGCAGCUCAUACCUUGAUUUCCCACUCCCUUUCCACUCUCAGGCCUCCUCCUUCACCCUAGGGGAGCUGAGAGAACAGAGAGGAGGGAUGGUCCCUGGAGAAGACCUCCCCAGUGGGGCAGAGGUUGUCUGCUGGCCUGAAAUUUGGGAAGUAGUGGGGACAGGCAGUGGGGCUGUCAGGAGGGAAGUUUCUGUGUUUUGCCCUCUCUUUUUAAAAAAUGUACUUGGGACACUGGGAGAAAUGGGGGGAAGGGUGCAGACAGGAAAGGGGGGUUGGAAACAACCCAAAACGUAGCAACUGUCCAUCUGCUUGCUGCAUUCCUAAUGUGGGACUCACUCUUGUCUGCUCCCCAUAGCAAAGGAAAGAGGAGGGGCACCGCUGGCAGCCUCAAAGACGCCAGAUAGACCAGUGGUUCUCAACCUAUGGGUCGCGACCCCUUUGGCGGUCGAACAACCCUUUCACAGGGGUCGCCUAAGACCAUCCUGCAUAUCAGAUAUUUACAUUAUGAUUCAUAAGAGUAGCAACAUUACAGUUAUGAAGUAGCAACGAAAAUAAUUUUAUGGUUGGCUCACAACAUGAGGAACCGUAUUUAAAGGGCCAGAAGGUUGAGAACCACUGAGAAAGACUAUUUAGACCUGGGCCUUUGGGGUGGAGAGGGAGGUUGGGGAGGGUCUUGGUUGCAAUGGCCCUAAGAAACCUGCACAAAUUUGACUUGUUACACAGAAGCCAGGGACUUUUAAGAGCCCCCCCACCCUGCCCUGCCAAUUGACCUAUAUUUCCCUGGCAGGGAUAGUCAACCCCAAACAGGUCCCCUCCUGUUCUACAAUGACUUUGGCAUACAAACACCAACGUAGCUGUAAAAGAGUUAACAUUCUGUGAACAACCCUGGUGGAAUUAGCAGGUUAGUCUCAUGGAUUCAGAUCAGCCUUGGGGACCUCCAAGCCUCACGAGGACUUUUGGGAGCAAGCCCUGCCUUUGCCUCCACCGCUGUGGUGUGAAAGCAGCCCUAAGCCUGAGUAUGGCUGUCUUCCAAUCAAACAUUAUGUAGCGACACUCACAUUUGAAUUUCAUAUGAUUUUCAUGUGUCGCGAAAUACUAACCAUCCUUUCCUUGACUGUUCUUUUAAAAAUUAUUAUUAAUAUGAAAUUAUUAUUAUCAUGAAAUCUAUCCUCUUAACAAAUUUUAAGCGUACCAUACAUUAUUGUCCACUGUAAGUCUUUUCUUUUUUUUUUUUUAUAACACUUUAAAAAAUGUAAAAGCUAUUCUUAGUUCUCAAGCCAUACAAAAAUGGAUGGUGGGCGAGCAUUGGCCCGUGGGCCGUAGUUUGCCAGCCUCUGGUCUAGAAAACUCGGUCCAGGGCAGCCAGCUUGGAAGAUUCUGUUUCAGCAUUAGCUGCCAAGGAGCAAGGACAAUAAAAUCUGUGUCUGUGAACCCGAGAGCUCCUAGAGAGGAAUCCCUAAUCAUUUCUGUUCUUUCUCACUCUGUCAAUGAAGCCCCCCCUUUUUUCAGUUCCACAUGAAAAGAGUCAAUGAAGUUUCACUUUGUAUUGUGUAAGAGUGCAAUAGAAGUGUACCAGCAAUUCUGUGGCAGGCAGAGCAGUGCCAAAAGGAGACGCUGGGAACCAACAGCCUUGGAGCUGUUCAGGGCAGAGUCCGGUCCUACCAUUUCACAGAGUGCAGUUCCCCAAUCUGCCAUGGUGCUCGCCGAGGCAGGCGGAUGGGUCCUUGCUCAGGAAGGAGACCAGCAUUUGGUCUUCAUACCUCUGCCUGCUCUUUAGGAGGGUAUAGGACUGGAGAAAUCCUCUUGUAUGCUCAAGCCCAUCUCCCCUGCUCCCUGCAGGCACCGUGGUUUCCAACAUGGCACCGUGAGCCUUGAGUUCCUUUUGGGCGCACAUUUCCUGACCUCAGCGCCUUGAUUCCUUUUCCUUUUCCUUCAAGAAGAUAAGGCCGUCCGUCGCUGUUCGCAAAGCAGGUUUGAAAUGGAAAUCUCCCUUUACCUUUUCUACCAUGACCUGUUGGCUCCUCGUCUUCCACUGGUGUCAGAGGCUGGCAUCCUCCAAGCACACCCACUCAGCUGGGCCGCACCUUGAGCGGAUUUGCAUUACUGGGUUCAGCUCCACGUUACUAGGAGUCUCUUUGGAAAUGGUUGGCUGGUCGCCACUGAGCCGCUUGGAUUUCCGUCAAUGAUGUACCUGUGCAGAGAAUCCUAGCUGAUAGGAGGGAGGGAUUGGGCCCGUGAGCACCUGGGGCUGGAGCUUCCUGCCACCCCUCAGAUGCUCUUCCACAUGGACAAACAGGUGUUCUUGUGGGCAGGAGCCUCAUAUCGCAGGUUAAUUUGUUUCUUUAAGGUUGUUCUUGUCAAGCCCAGAACAACUCAACAGCCACCCCCCACUUUUAAAAAAAGCUCUUAAGACCAUCUUUACCAUCUUUACAUUCAGCAACACUGAGCAAAUAGUUCUCUGAAGCCACCUCCUGCUUAAAGCUUCUGGAUCUCAGCUCAUGCUGUUCCAGGCUGUUCCCUCUGCCUAGAAUGCAUCACUUCACAAAGAAAGCCUUCCCUUACCCCGCCCCUGCCAGCAGAACUAAAUGCCCUUCCUCUCUGCUCCCUCUACAUAGCUGAUCUUGCACUUCUCCCAUACCUAGCACAAGCCCUUCAUCGGCCACAUUACAAGGUAAAACCCACCAUAAGCUAAUCACAGCUGGCGUAAAGCUGGACAAAAAAGUCAACAGUGAUUAAGAAGAGCACUUGCAAUACGGUUUUACGGCCUCUAGCCUUAAUGAUGAGCUUCCCUAGAGGUGUACAGCGGGCCUUUAAAAAGUAGCCUCUGUGGAAAGCAGUGUGGCGUUUCCUCAGAAAGUUAAAAGUGGAACUCCCAUUUGACCCAGUAAUCCCAAUUCUAGGAAUAUAUUCCAAGAAAACAGAAACACCAAUCAAAAAGGAUAUAUGCACCCCUAUGUUCAUAGCAGCACAAUUUACAAUAGCUAAGAUUUGGAAACAACCUAAGUGCCCAUUAGCAGAUGAGUGGACUAGAAAACUGUGGUACAGCUACACAAUGGAAUACUACGCUGCUGUAAAAAAGAAGGAAUUCUUACCAUUUGCAACAGCAUGGAUGGAACUGGAGAGCAUUAUUCUAAGCGAAAUAAGCCAGUCAGAGAAAGAUAAAUAUCAUAUGAUCUCACUCAUUUGUGGAAUAUAAUGAACAACAUAAACUGAUGAACAAAAAUAGAACCAGAGUCAUAGAAGCAUGGAACAGACUGUCCAACCUAUGACGGAAGGCAGGGGUGAGGGGGUAAGAGAUCAACCAAAGGACUUGUAUGCAUGCAUAUGAGCAUAACCA